AUUGAACGCUGGCGGCAGGCCUAACACAUGCAAGUCGAGCGGAUGAAGGGAGCUUGCUCCUGGAUUCAGCGGCGGACGGGUGAGUAAUGCCUAGGAAUCUGCCUGGUAGUGGGGGAUAACGUCCGGAAACGGGCGCUAAUACCGCAUACGUCCUGAGGGAGAAAGUGGGGGAUCUUCGGACCUCACGCUAUCAGAUGAGCCUAGGUCGGAUUAGCUAGUUGGUGGGGUAAAGGCCUACCAAGGCGACGAUCCGUAACUGGUCUGAGAGGAUGAUCAGUCACACUGGAACUGAGACACGGUCCAGACUCCUACGGGAGGCAGCAGUGGGGAAUAUUGGACAAUGGGCGAAAGCCUGAUCCAGCCAUGCCGCGUGUGUGAAGAAGGUCUUCGGAUUGUAAAGCACUUUAAGUUGGGGGGAAGGGCAGUAAGUUAAUACCUUGCUGUUUUGACGUUACCAACAGAAUAAGCACCGGCUAACUUCGU
rnacentral:rRNA from 1 species